GGAAAAUCACCUCGUUACUGUGUCUUUCAGAAGUGGACUGACUUUCUUGAAGCUGAAUGUGGUUUGGACAGUUACAUUCUUUCCAUGAUGGCAUGGAGUCAGCUUCUUUGAUGAGGAUUAGCAUAUAAAGCCAGAGAAACAUUUUACUUCCUGAAAAGCCUGGAAAUUCAGCUUUAAAUUGUUUUGUUUGUUUCUGUUUACCAAUGGUAUUCUCCUUCUAAAAGAGAAGCCCACAUCUCCCCAAAAUGAAAUCACUGCUGUGUCAAGUGAGCUAAAAUGAGAACCACAUGAAGAUAAGAUAGAUUUUUAUCAUGCUGCUACACUUUUUCAGAUUUUAUGCCUUCCCUGAUGCUGGAAUCAGAAAUUUACAACUAAUCAGCUUUAUUCCACGACUGAGGGAUAAAGUGGACUAAGUUCUGAAACCUCGACAAGCUGUAAAUCACAAUGACCUUCCCUCCUUAUAAUUGAUUCAUGUCUUUAUAAGAAGAGUCACCAGAAUGGAUGUUCACAAAGAAAAUACUACAUGAGGACACAACAAGAAAAUAAUUAUUUGCAAGUCAAGCAAAGAGGACUGAGGAGAAACAAAACUUGGUGCUCCUCAACUUUUACUAUCAGCCAUAAGAACUACUGUGGGAGAUAAGCAGUUUCCUCCAUUGUGUGCUCACCACCAUGAUGCACUGCUUUAUCAUAGGACUAAAGCACUGCACUAAGUAUAGAGGAUGAAAACCAACAUUGUUCCUGAUCUAAAAGAUUAUGAUGCCUUUGAGUAAAGGGAAUGAGUAAAAGGAUGGAAAUCUUUCUUUACCAACACAUCUUCCAAAAAGGAAUCCUCAUUUGCUUAAGAUUAUCAAGCACAGACAGUUUUCAUAGAAGAUACUUUCAAAAAG
ensembl:lncRNA